rnacentral:rRNA from 1 species
GUCUUUUUGAUUAUAAUUUAAAGUCUGACCUGCCCAAUGAGGAGUUGAAUGGCCGCGGUACUUUGACCGUGCAAAGGUAGCAUAAUCAUUAGUUUUUUAAUUGAAAGCUGGAAUGAACGGUUGGACGAGAGAAUAACUGUCUCAAUUUAAAUUUAGUUAGAACUUUAUUUUUAAGUAAAAAAGCUUAAAUAGACUUAAAAGACGAGAAGACCCUAUAGAGUUUUAUAUAUAGAUAUAUUUAUGAGAGUAGGAAUUUUAGUUGUAUGAAUAUAUAAGUGUAUUUUGUUGGGGUGACAGAAAAAUUUAAAGAACUUUUUUUAUAUUAUAACAUUGAUUUAUGGUUUGAUGAUCCGUAAUUUACGAUUAUAAGAUUAAAUUACCUUAGGGAUAACAGCGUAAUUUUUUUUGAGAGUUCUAAUCGAAAAAAGAGUUUGCGACCUCGAUGUUGGAUUAAAAUUAAUUUUUGGUGUAGGUGCUAAAAAAUUAGGUCUGUUCGACCUUUGAAAUUUUACAUGAUCUGAGU